rnacentral:rRNA from 1 species
AAACCAACAGGGAUUACCUCAGUAACGGCGAGUGAAGCGGUAAAAGCUCAAAUUUGAAAUCUGGCUCUUUUAGAGUCCGAAUUGUAAUUUGUAGAAGAUGCUUCGGGUGUGGUUCCGGUCUAAGUUCCUUGGAACAGGACGUCAUAGAGGGUGAGAAUCCCGUAUGUGACUGGAUACCUAUGCUCAUGUGAAGCUCUUUCGACGAGUCGAGUUGUUUGGGAAUGCAGCUCAAAAUGGGAGGUAUAUUUCUUCUAAAGCUAAAUAUUGGCCAGAGACCGAUAGCGCACAAGUAGAGUGAUCGAAAGAUGAAAAGCACUUUGGAAAGAGAGUUAAACAGUACGUGAAAUUGUUGAAAGGGAAGCGCUUGCAAUCAGACUUGCACUUGGUGUUCAUCAGGGUCUCGUACCCUGUGUACUUCAUCAAGUUCAGGCCAGCAUCAGUUUGAGUGGUUAGAUAAAGGCUUAGAGAAUGUGGCCCUCUUCGGGGGGUGUUAUAGCUCUAGGUGCAAUGUAGCCUACUUGGACUGAGGACCGCGCUUCGGCUAGGAUGCUGGCGUAAUGGUUGUAAGCGAC